CCUGCGGAGGGAUCAUUACCGAGUUUACAACUCCCAAACCCCUGUGAACAUACCUUUAAUGUUGCCUCGGCGGAUCAGCCCGCGCCCCGUAAAACGGGACGGCCCGCCAGAGGACCCAAACUCUAAUGUUUCUUAUUGUAACUUCUGAGUAAAACAAACAAAUAAAUCAAAACUUUCAACAACGGAUCUCUUGGUUCUGGCAUCGAUGAAGAACGCAGCAAAAUGCGAUAAGUAAUGUGAAUUGCAGAAUUCAGUGAAUCAUCGAAUCUUUGAACGCACAUUGCGCCCGCUGGUAUUCCGGCGGGCAUGCCUGUUCGAGCGUCAUUUCAACCCUCAAACCCCCGGGUUUGGUGUUGGGGAUCGGCUCUGCCUCACGGCGGUGCCGCCCCCGAAAUACAUUGGCGGUCUCGCUGCAGCCUCCAUUGCGUAGUAGCUAACACCUCGCAACUGGAACGCGGCGCGGCCAUGCCGUAAAACCCCAACUUCUGAAUGUUGACCUCGGAUCAGGUAGGAAUACCCGCUGAACUUAAGCAUAUCAAUAAGCCGGAGGA
rnacentral:rRNA from 1 species